rnacentral:lncRNA from 1 species
AUUACUUUUAUCUAUCAUUAUUAUCUGUGGGUCAAGAAUCCAGAGGUCCAGACUAAGGAGAAUGACAUUAGAGAUUGUAGCCACGUGUCAUUUGGAGCUGGCAUCAUCUGAAGACUUGCUGGGGACCAGAACUUCUAUUUUUCACUUCUUUUGCAUUUCCUCACCUAAGUUGCUAAGUAUUAGAAUACAGAUGUUCACCAGUUUACUAUGAUUUGACUUACGACUUUUUAAAAAUUGAUAAUGAUGGCACACACCUGUAAUCCCAGCACUUGAGAGGCUGAGGCAAGAGGAUUGCAUCAGUUGGAGGCCAGCCUGGGCUACAC